AGCAGUGUGGUGUAGUGGUAAGGAGCACGGCUCCUAACUGAGAGGUCGCUAGUUCAAAUCCCCCUGGAGCACUGCUG